rnacentral:lncRNA from 1 species
CUGCUCAACUGGUUUGAUCAUUUUGACUGAAACAAGCGGUCAUUUCAUGUCCUAUGGGAUGCUUGCUGAGGACAUUAAACACAGAAACAAGUAGAACAUGAAUUCAGAGUGAAGGAGAUGUUAAAGAGGAGAAAACAGAAUCUCAGAGAGUAACCUGCCUUAACCACAACAAUAAAGGAGACAAGUGGCAUGAAUCUAUUUACAAAGAGAAUCACCUCUGUGUCUGUGACCCGAGAGCCAUUCCCGUAGUGAUACAACUUGGACAUUUGUUCAGGAGGCAAGCGCUCACGCUGAGUGAUUUUC